UACGUAGGGGGCAAGCGUCAUCCGGAUUUACUGGGUGUAAAGGGAGCGUAGACGGCCAGACAAGUCUGAAGUGAAAUCCAGCGCUUAACGUUGGAAGUGCUUUGGAAACUGCCGGGCUGGAGUGCAGGAGGGGCAGGCGGAAUUCCUAGUGUAGCGGUGAAAUGCGUAGAUAUUAGGAGGAACACCAGUGGCGAAGGCGGCCUGCUGGACUGCAACUGACGUUGAGGCUCGAAGGCGUGGGGAGCAAACAGG
rnacentral:rRNA from 1 species